GUUGUUCCCUGAGCCGUGGCUGAGGUUCCUAAAGGAUUGUUCUCCAUCCUUCUCCCACUCCUCAGUGUUUUCCCUGCUCAGCCCCACUCUGGUGAUGACUGUCACAGCAUUCACACGAACUUGUGUCUUCAAAACCUCUCCCCUGUGAUCAGAACUGACCAAGGUGCUCAGCAGCUGCUAGAAAGGAAGAUGGAGGAUGGACUGAGGGAAAACAUAAACUUUAUUUUGCUAUACAGGAGGGAAAACAUCCUUCUAUUACCAUCGUUAUAAUGGAAUAACAGGUGUUUAAAGAGGAGUCUCCUGGGUUUGGAUUGGGAUAGAGUGUAGUCUGGAGGAGUCACUGCCCUUGCCAACAUUCAAUUUAACACCCUUAGGAACUGCUUCUGAAUUUGAAUGUCUGGGUCUCUGCACUCAACCUUGAUUAACUGGCCCAACAACAAAUGUUAAUCACCCUGAUUUACAUUGCCUGCAGAGCUAUGGUCAACUUGAUAUCAGCAACCUGCAGCUCCCUUAACAUGUUCCAACAGGGAACUUCCAGAGUCUUGCAGGCAGUGGAGGUGAGCCCUGGGAGCCUGCACUGCGAGGUUUGUCUGGCAGGGAGCUGCAGGCAGGAGCAGGGCAGGAAUACCUCAGCCAACUGAACUGCUGUGCCUCAAAGAGCUUUUGUGGCUCUCCAGGCUCUCAAGAUGUAGGUAACACAAUGUUUUUAGUUACAUUUGGAUUCUGAAUACAUAAAAAAAGGCUUAAGCUUUAAACUUGUGUGUUCUUCCCAGCAACAAACUGAGCUUGUUGGAGGAGCCAGCGCAGGAUUUGAGACAAUGUCCUUUACAUGGGAGCCACUAAGUGUGCACAGACACACACAAGACACAUUCAGCAAACACCCCAUCGGAUUUUUCCACAGAUGAGACCAUUUUGCAGCGACAUUCUGGAGGACAGGAAGCCCCAGGGCUGGGCAGAGCCAGCUGCUGGCCACAGCUCCUGGUGGCAGGAGUUCCACAGCUCCUGGUGGCAGGAGUUCCACAGCUCCUGGUGGCAGGAGUUCCACGUGCUGCUGAGGCAGGGCGUUAAAAAAUCUCCUGUUAUCACCGCGAGCUGCGCCAGCUGCUCCUGGAAAUUCGCCUAUCAGCCACCAUGCUGCAGCUCUGUUGGUGGCAGAAGAUUGUUCCUCUGGACUUUUCUUAAAAAAAUAAAUAAAAUGUCAAGCCUGAAAAGGAAGCCUGCUAUUUUUCAAAUCCAGGAGCUGUAAUCAUGCUAAUCCAUAUGAUCGUGCUAAAGCCAAGCAAAAUGCCUUUUGCAUAUGAUGUAAUCAGCCAGGGCAGCCUAUUUAUAACCACCACAGGCUGGGAACACCUUCCCAGAAAAAUACAAUCAGGACAGCUUUCCCUUGGUCACAUUCUUCCUCUUCCUCCCCGUGUUUUUCACUUUCUUUGUGCUCUUUCGCCUACUUUUGCUGUGUUCCCUGCCUUAAAUACAGCAACUUUUUAAUUUUUAUUUUAAACUAAUGCUUCCCGUGCCUUCUAUUUUAUCCGUGUUUUGGAGCCGUGCUGAGUGAAAUCCGUGGCCUGUGAAAUCAAUACCAAAACUUCUAUUGAUUUCAUAUAAUAUAUUCCUUUAAAUUCAGUACAAAUGCUCCACAGGAGUUGUCUAUUUUAAGUAUGGAUCUACUGUACAUGGCUGUCAGUCUCUCAGCUGGAUACAUAAACCAGCGUGGUUUAAUAAAUUCAUUGGUGUGGCUUGGGA